GGACACUGGAAGCGCCAAUUUCAAAAAUCCGUUAUUAAGAAAACUCAAUUGAUUGCUUUACAGUAUUUGGUGUUGACCUUACAACUCUCGUGAAACUUCACAACACAAAACGACCAUUUGUUGUCGAUAUGUGCAUGUAUAUACAAGAUGUUGAGAUUGUGGUAUAUGUAGAAUACAUAUGUAUAGAAACUGUUUGAACUCGUCUGACAGUCACUCGUUCGUCGGUCGGAUCGAGAAAGGAGGCAGAUUUUACUUGUAACGUUGCAAAAAUGACAUCUAUUUGCCGGAAAAUACACAAUCAAGUAGGAAAAUCGAUAACAGAAGAUUUUCCUGACCGUCCAGCGAUCUACUUGAUACUGGAGAAAAACAAGCCUCUGUAUUUGGGACAAACAAACAACCUUCAUAGGCGCCUUAAAGAACACAUGCGUGGGGAACAAGCAAUCGACAAAAAGCUACAACAGCUCAACCCAUCUAAUAUCAAAGUGAAGUAUGAAGAAAGAGAAGACGCGAAACAAAAUGAGCAGAAUUUUAUCAAAUGCAUGGAAAACAUCAUUGGAAAACCUUUGCCUUAUAACAUUAUAAAAGGCAUUGGUCAACAGUGAAUUUGACUGGAAACCAAAGAGUAAACAAACAUUAAAAGUUAACAAAUAUAAUGUCAACACUUUUGCAUGGCCGCAAUUACCUAUACUACAUGUAGUAGUAAAAGUACACGCUUUUUCAUUAGAUCAUUUACGGUAUUCAAGCAUGUAGUUUGUUAAAAGCUUUGCGAAGCGUAUUCAGUAUCUACAUCAAUACACGAAUAAAGUCUAGUAGUCGGGCUGCYAGGCGCUACCCGACUUUAGUUCUCAGUAAUUUACGUCAAUCUAUGUUUCUAUGUGUAAGGUCGCGUUUUGAACUACAGAAGUGGACAUUGCGAACGGAAGCUAAAAAUUCGAGUAUUUAAAAUCAACUAUUAGGUUGGCUGUAUUAUUACAUAACAUGACAAGAAGCCCAAAUGUUAUAGAAUUGCAAAAGACUGUUGUUACUCAACUAAAUGUGUUUACAACCUGAACUUUCACUUCUCAAAAGCACAAAAUUAAUAAAAAAAAUACAACAUACAAAACAUGACUCAACUUACGAGAUUGAUUUAUCAGAUGUUUAAACAAAUUCACAAGAACUUUCAGGACACUCUUGGUAGCUUUGUCAUUCCCUUCGACUGAGAUACCAAAGUCGGGAAUAUCAGAUGUAGAUACAGAUGGUUUGAGAAUCCUCAGGGAGAUUUCAAUCCAUUGAGCCAGUGUUUUGGUGGGUUGUUCAUUCUAGAAGAGAUUAUGCAAUGUGUUGAGAAAGAUGAGCAAAAAGAGAAAGUGAAGCAAAGGGAAAUAUGUAACCUUCACGUGACGUGGGAAAAUUGUAAAAAAUGAUCUUGAAAAAGGUAGGUUGCAUGUGGCCAUAAUUUAGAACACUGAUAUCCUAUAGAAUCUCAUAAAUACAUUUAGUUUACAUAUGGUGAUAAAUCAUAUAUUCACUAAAACUGGCACAAGACAAAUAAAAAAAUUUUGCCUUUGUUUUGA